UGGGGAAUAUUGCGCAAUGGGCGAAAGCCUGACGCAGCGACGCCGCGUGAGGGAAGAAGGCCUUCGGGUCGUAAACCUCUGUCUAGAGGGAAGAAACCAUUGAGGUCGAACAGGCCUCUUUGCUGACGGUACCUCUGAAGGAAGCACCGGCUAACUCCGUGCCAGCAGCCGCGGUAAUACGGAGGGUGCGUAGGCUGUUGUUUAAGUCGGAUGUGAAAUCCCUCGGCUCAACCGAGGAACUGCAUUCGAUACUGUAUGACUUGAGGAAGAUAGGGGUGAGCGGAACUGAGGGUGGAGCGGUGAAAUGCGUUGAUAUUCUCAGGAACACCGGUGGCGAAAGCGGCUCACUGGAUCUUUUCUGACGCUGAGGCACGAAAGCUAGGGUAGCGAACG
rnacentral:rRNA from 1 species